AAGGUUGUGACUUCUGUUUUAAUAUAUAAGAUGUUAUCUAUACAAAAUCAUAAUCAUAUAACUAUAAAGACCGAAUUCUUAGUGUUGUUGUUGUUGUAAUCUUUUAAUAAUUUUUUUUUUUCUUUUAAGUGAUAUAAAACAAUAGAAAACGAUGGUUUUAUUUAGAGGAGAUAUGUGUCAAUAUCUAUAUAUAUAAAGAAAUGUUUGCAUCUCUCCUGUGAUGCCACGUCACUAAUUAGUCUCUUUAGGUGAUGACACGUGUCGAGACUUCAUUUUACUCUUUCGAUGAUGUUAUUGUUGGGUUUUCAUAUUAAGAAUUGAUUUGGGCUUAAGAGGAUAGGUCGUGGGCUUCUAAUACAAAGUCAUAUAUUAGGGCUAUAGAGCAUUAGUUAAGUAGGUGUAGCGGUUCAGACAACUAUCUCCUACGCUUUCUCAAAGAAACGCCGUCUAGGGUUCCUCUUAACCAACUGACUAUGGAGGAUCCGGGAGUUAGAAAUCCGGGCAAUCUAUGGUGGAAACCGCCGUCGGUGUUGGGAGACGAAUGCUGACUGCUGACUAGGGAAAGAGAAAAUGACACAAAGUUUGGAGUAAAAAGCAGAGGAGAAGCAAAUAAACUACAAUGGUCAUAUUAUAGUAAAACAUAGACUUGUGUUGUGUGUUCAGUUUAAGUAAUCUGAUUUUUUGGCUUCUUGCUUCAUGCAAUUAUUGAGUUAUGUUUCCUAACCUCUUGUGUAUAGGCACGUUUUAUUAUUUCUCAUUUACAGCAUACAUGUACACUUCCGGA